UACGUAGGGUGCGAGCGUUGUCCGGAAUUAUUGGGCGUAAAGGGCUCGUAGGCGGUUUGUCGCGUCGGGAGUGAAAUCCACUGGCUUAACUGGUGGCUUGCUUUCGAUACGGGCAGACUGGAGGUAUGCAGGGGAGAACGGAAUUCCUGGUGUAGCGGUGAAAUGCGCAGAUAUCAGGAGGAACACCUAUUGCGAAGGCAGCUCGCUUGGACGUAACUGACGCUGAGACGCGAAAGCGUGGGGAGCAAACAGG
rnacentral:rRNA from 1 species